UACGAAGGGGGCUAGCGUUGCUCGGAAUUACUGGGCGUAAAGGGCGCGUAGGCGGAUAUCUAAGUUGGGGGUGAAAUCCCGGGGCUCAACCUCGGAAUUGCCUUCAAAACUGGGUAUCUUGAGUUCGGGAGAGGUGAGUGGAACUCCGAGUGUAGAGGUGAAAUUCGUAGAUAUUCGGAAGAACACCAGUGGCGAAGGCGACUCACUGGCCCGAUACUGACGCUGAGGCGCGAAGGCGUGGGGAGCGAACAGG
rnacentral:rRNA from 1 species